GACGAACGCUGGCGGCGUGCCUAAUACAUGCAAGUCGAGCGGACUGAAUGGGAGCUUGCUCUUGUUCGGUCAGCGGCGGACGGGUGAGUAACACGUGGGCAACCUGCCCGCAAGACCGGGAUAACUCCGGGAAACCGGAGCUAAUACCGGAUAACACCGAAGACCGCAUGGUCUUUGGUUGAAAGGCGGCGCAAGCUGCCACUUGCGGAUGGGCCCGCGGCGCAUUAGCUAGUUGGUGAGGUAACGGCUCACCAAGGCGACGAUGCGUAGCCGGCCUGAGAGGGUGACCGGCCACACUGGGACUGAGACACGGCCCAGACUCCUACGGGAGGCAGCAGUAGGGAAUCUUCCGCAAUGGGCGAAAGCCUGACGGAGCGACGCCUCGUGAGCGAAGAAGGCCUUCGGGUCGUAAAGCUCUGUUGUGAGGGACGAAGGAGCGCCGUUUGAAGAAGGCGGCGCGGUGACGGUACCUCACGAGGAAGCCCCGGCUAACUACGUG
rnacentral:rRNA from 1 species